AUUGAACGCUGGCGGCAUGCCUUACACAUGCCAGUCGAACGGCAGCACGGGUGCUUGCACCUGGUGGCGAGUGGCGAACGGGUGAGUAAUACAUCGGAACAUGUCCUGUAGUGGGGAAUAGCCCGGCGAAAGCCGGAUUAAUACCGCAUACGAUCUACGGAUGAAAGCGGGGGACCUUCGGGCCUCGCGCUAUAGGGUUGGCCGAUGGCUGAUUAGCUAGUUGGUGGGGUAAAGGCCUACCAAGGCGACGAUCAGUAGCUGGUCUGAGAGGACGACCAGCCACACUGGGACUGAGACACGGCCCAGACUCCUACGGGAGGCAGCAGUGGGGAAUUUUGGACAAUGGGCGAAAGCCUGAUCCAGCAAUGCCGCGUGUGUGAAGAAGGCCUUCGGGUUGUAAAGCACUUUUGUCCGGAAAGAAAUCCUUGGCCCUAAUACGGUCGGGGGAUGACGGUACCGGAAGAAUAAGCACCGGCUAACUACGUG
rnacentral:rRNA from 1 species